GACCCCAUUUUCAUUUUGCCAAUUGGACUUAUGUCUUUAUUGGUCAUUCAAGUGGGGCAAAGGACACAUCCAUUUAAAACUCAGGCAAACUGGUGUUUGUCUUGUAUCCUGUCAAAGGAAACAAAU
rnacentral:snoRNA from 1 species